UGGGGAAUAUUGGGGCAAUGGGCGAAAGCCUGACCCAGCAACGCCGCGUGAGGGAAGAAGGGUUUUCGGCUCGUAAACCUCUGUCCUAUGGGACGAAGGAAGUGACGGUACCAUAGGAGGAAGCCCCGGCUAACUACGUGCCAGCAGCCGCGGUAAUACGUAGGGGGCGAGCGUUGUCCGGAAUGAUUGGGCGUAAAGGGCGCGUAGGCGGCCUGGUAAGUCUGGAGUGAAAGUCCUGCUUUUAAGGUGGGAAUUGCUUUGGAUACUGCUGGGCUUGAGUGCAGGAGAGGAAAGCGGAAUUACCGGUGUAGCGGUGAAAUGCGUAGAGAUCGGUAGGAACACCAGUGGCGA
rnacentral:rRNA from 1 species